rnacentral:rRNA from 1 species
GAUGAACGCUGGCGGCGUGCCUAAUACAUGCAAGUCGAGCGAACAGACGAGGAGCUUGCUCCUCUGACGUUAGCGGCGGACGGGUGAGUAACACGUGGAUAACCUACCUAUAAGACUGGGAUAACUUCGGGAAACCGGAGCUAAUACCGGAUAAUAUAUUGAACCGCAUGGUUCAAUAGUGAAAGACGGUUUUGCUGUCACUUAUAGAUGGAUCCGCGCCGCAUUAGCUAGUUGGUAAGGUAACGGCUUACCAAGGCAACGAUGCGUAGCCGACCUGAGAGGUGAAUCGCCAAAACGGAAACUAGGACCCGGCCAGACUCCUACGGGAGGCAGCAGUAGGGAAUCUUCCGCAAUGGGCGAAAGCUUGACGGAGCAACGCCGCGUGAGUGAUGAAGGUCUUCGGAUCGUAAAACUCUGUUAUUAGGGAAGAACAAAUGUGUAAGUAACUAUGCACGUCUUGACGGUACCUAAUCAGAAAGCCACGGCUAACUACGUG